rnacentral:rRNA from 1 species
GAUGAACGCUGACAGAAUGCUUAACACAUGCAAGUCGAUGGGGAAGUGGUGCUUGCACCAUGGCAACCAUGGCGGACGGGUGAGUAACGCGUAAGGGACUUACCUGCAGGACUGGGAUAACAGGGGGAAACUCCUGACAAGACCGGAUAAUGUCAUGGAGCUGCAUGGCUUUAUGAUGAAAGGAGACGCCUGCGGAGAGCCUUGCGUCCUAUUAGCUAGUUGGUGAGGUAAUGGCUCACCAAGGCGAAGAUAGGUAGCCGGCCUGAGAGGGUGGACGGCCACAAGGGGACUGAGAUACGGCCCUUACUCCUACGGGAGGCAGCAGUGGGGAAUAUUGGACAAUGGGGGCAACCCUGAUCCAGCAAUUCUGUGUGCACGAAGAAGGUUUUCGGAGUGUAAGGUGCUUUCAGCAGGGAAGAAGUAAGUGACGGUACCUGCAGAAGAAGCGACGGCUAAAUACGUG